CGAACGCUGGCGGCAGGCCUAAUACAUGCAAGUCGAACGGCUCUUCGGAGCAGUGGCGGACGGGUGAGUAACGCGUGGGAAUGUGCCCUUAGGUACGGAACAACACAGGGAAACUUGUGCUAAUACCGUAUGUGCCCUUCGGGGGAAAGAUUUAUCGCUUUUGGAGCAGCCCGCGUUGGAUUAGGUAGUUGGUGAGGUAAAGGCUCACCAAGCCGACGAUCCAUAGCUGGUCUGAGAGGAUGACAAGCCACACUGGGACUGAGACACGGCCCAGACGCCUACGGGAGGCAGCAGUAGGGAAUCUUGCGCAAUGGGCGAAAGCUUGACGCAGCCAUGCCGCGUGUAUGAUGAAGGUCUUAGGAUUGUAAAAUACUUUCACCGGGGAAGAUAAUGACGGUACCCGGAGAAGAAGCCCCGGCUAACUUCGUGCCAGCCGCCGCCGUAACAC
rnacentral:rRNA from 1 species